AGCAGCCGCGGUAAUUCCAGCUCUAAUAGCGUAUAUUAAAGUUGUUGCAGUUAAAAAGCUCGUAGUUGAAUUUCGGGAUUGACGUGAUGGUCGUACCUUAAGGGGUAUGAACUGUCGCUGUUGAUUUCUCACCUUCUGGAGAAACUUGAUGUCCUUAAUUGGGUGUCUUGCAGAUCCAGGACCUUUACCUUGAAAAAUUAGAGUGUUUAAAGCAGGCAUUUUUGCUCGAAUACAUUAGCAUGGAAUAAUAGAAUAGGACGGCAUGGUUCUUAUUUUGUUGG
rnacentral:rRNA from 1 species